UCGAACGAUGAAGCCCAGCUUGCUGGGCGGAUUAGUGGCGAACGGGUGAGUAACACGUGAGUAACCUGCCCUUGACUCUGGGAUAAGCCCGGGAAACUGGGUCUAAUACCGGAUAGGAGCGCCUGUCGCAUGACGGGUGCUGGAAAGAUCUUUCGGUCAUGGAUGGACUCGCGGCCUAUCAGCUUGUUGGUGAGGUAACGGCUCACCAAGGCGACGACGGGUAGCCGGCCUGAGAGGGUGACCGGCCACACUGGGACUGAGACACGGCCCAGACUCCUACGGGAGGCAGCAGUGGGGAAUAUUGCACAAUGGGCGAAAGCCUGAUGCAGCGACGCCGCGUGAGGGAUGACGGCCUUCGGGUUGUAAACCUCUUUCAGCAGGGAAGAAGCGAAAGUGACGGUACCUGCAGAAGAAGCACCGGCUAACUACGUGCCAGCAGCCGCGGUAAUACGUAGGGUGCGAGCGUUAUCCGGAAUUAUUGGGCGUAAAGAGCUCGUAGGCGGUUUGUCACGUCUGUCGUGAAAGUCCGGGGCUUAACCCCGGAUCUGCGGUGGGUACGGGCAGACUAGAGUGCAGUAGGGGAGACUGGAAUUCCUGGUGUAGCGGUGGAAUGCGCAGAUAUCAGGAGGAACACCGAUGGCGAAGGCAGGUCUCUGGGCUGUAACUGACGCUGAGGAGCGAAAGCAUGGGGAGCGAACAGGAUUAGAUACCCUGGUAGUCCAUGCCGUAAACGUUGGGCACUAGGUGUGGGGACCAUU
rnacentral:rRNA from 1 species